AUCCGGCCGCCGCCUCCUCCUCCUCCGCUUCCUCAUCAGAUCAGGGGCUCGCAGGGCACUGAGCCAUGCAGGCUGAUGCCGAGUCCGCUGAGGAAGGCAGGUGCGCUGGAAGCCCCGAGUCUGGAGCUCAGGUCUUGGACAGGACGGCGAGGUGCCUGGGCUCCGCAGGUCCGAGGCCUGGGACAGGCACCGGAGCACUUCGCGGCUCCUGUUCUCAGCCGCCCUGUUUGGUGAGUAGCAGCCUCGGGAGCGUUAGGGUCAUAAGAUCUGAGACGCUGUCUGCUCCCCGUGGAGGAGCUGGGUGUCCGGUGGGUGAGGCCCCGCUCACAGCGCCGCCUCGGCGUCUGUGCCUUUCGCGUCUGCCUCCUCCCUCCGGGUGGCACCGUGGGAGCCUUGGGCGUCGGCUGCUCCAGACCCAGGAGACGCUCGGGGCAGGAGGCAGGAGCUAGCCCGGUCCAGGUGCGUGUCCGCCAGGGACACUGCACCUCUCUUCAGCUGUCUUUGCAGGGCCCCGAAGGCUGCCCGCCUCCCUUUCCUGCAUAGGAGCGGCCUGAGUAGAAGACAAGGUCGCCGGAGAGCCACAGCUUCGGGGUGACAGGCACAGAGAGGUGCAUGGCGAAUGCACAGGGACGCUGGGGCCGAUUCCGUGUUUCCAGUGGGAUCCCUGCCCCGGCCCUGCUGCUCAGCGCAGUCUUCUGUCUUCCGCCACUGCCCGGCUAGACGUCCCCUCCGUUAGCCGGCUGUGCUGGGGCACCCGAGGGACGCACACAGGGCAGGGGGUCUGCUCCCAAGCACGCUAGCGUGUGGAGGGCUUCCCGGCCUGCGCCUCGCUGGAGCCCCGACCCCCAGGUGGGUCUCUCCCCGCAGGCACCACCAGGCUGGGAGGGUGCGUGGCCAGCAGAGGCCACUCUGGGAGCCCCAGCGUGCCCCGCACCUCGCCCCUCGGCUGCGGAUGCUCUUCUCGCCCCCAGGGUCGGCUCCAUCGCGGACACUUUGAGUGCAGUUUCCGUCUUCUGCCGGCAGAGGGCGCGGCCGCCCGCCCGGAGGCAGAGACUCGGCUCCCACCCAGCCUCUCCCGCUCUGGUUCCCUCAGAGUCCAGGCGGAGAACCUCUGAAGUUUGCUGGCUCAGAGACUUUCAUACAGGAAGGGUGCAGAGGAAUCGCUGGGCCCUGGGGGAGAAAGCACGCUGCCGAGGCCUUCGGCAAGGUGACCACGGGUCCCGCGGAGCAGGGCCGGUCGCUGCGGGCCGCGGCUCUGCGCUUGAACGAACCGGAAGUUGAGCCGGAAGUUGAGCCGGAAGUUGACCCGGAGGUCUCCGGCCCAGACCCGUCCUGCGGCGGCUGCCGGGGCUCAGCGCUCCGGGCCUGGAGGGAGAAGGGCCCUGGCGAGAGCGCUGCAGGCGGACACCGCGUCCCAGCCGGGCCGGGCCGUGCGGGGCUGCAGGGCACCAGUGUGCCGGGCGAGCGGGGUUCUCCGCCAGCCCCGGUCCCGCUCUGGCCCCGCUCGUCCCGGGUGGGGAAUCAGGCCCGGGAUCCACUCUCACCCCACAGCCCGUCCAUCGCAAGCCUGGGACGCUGCCGCAGCGUCCUCCUGUCUCUGCCUCCCCAGCCCGCCCAGGCCACUGCCCUGCACACCUGAAAGGGUGCUGGCCCCCAACCCGCCUCCCCGCUUCCAUCUGGCUCCACGGCCCCUCCCAGAGCCUCCGGAGCUCCUCAGCACCCCGGGACCAAAGCCUCAUCCGGGGACCCCAGCGCGCUGCUCGUCGGGUCCUGCCCCUCUGUGGCCACAGCUCCUGCGGGCCUCUCGGCAGGGGCGGCAGAGCUGCUGGCUGCCCACUUCCCGGCUUUGCCCACGCCCUCCCCUGGCCUGAGGGAGCGCUGUUCUUCCGUACUUCUCUGCUCGGUUCCCACUCGCCUCCCAUUUCCAGAAUGGCUUUCCCCUCGCAGAGUCAGCUCCGCCAGCGAAGCCCAGUCCUCUUCUGUGGCCGGUGCUGUUCCCUGUAAACCCCCUCACAGCAGACGUGAUUAAGUACAUGUGGCACAAAAUAGAGGCUCAGGAAGCGACUGGUGGAAGGGUGGAUGUGUCUGAACCUGUACUUUGUGUGAGAAUAAAAGUCAACUUUGGAG